GCGUGAGUAGUUCAGCGGUAGAACGCCUCGUUGCCAAUGCGAAAGAACCAAGGUUCUGUCUUUCCUUUUAGAGAAGAUAGAAAAGCAAAGACGAGGUAACCCGAGUUCGAAUCUCGGCUCGCGCA
rnacentral:tRNA from 1 species